rnacentral:rRNA from 1 species
AUUGAACGCUGGUGGCAGGCCUAACACAUGCAAGUCGAGCGGAUGAAGAGAGCUUGCUCUCUGAUUCAGCGGCGGACGGGUGAGUAAUGCCUAGGAAUCUGCCUGGUAGUGGGGGACAACGUUUCGAAAGGAACGCUAAUACCGCAUACGUCCUACGGGAGAAAGUGGGGGGUCUUCGGACCUCACGCUAUCAGAUGAGCCUAGGUACGAUUAGCUAGUUGGUGAGGUAAAGGCUCACCAAGGCGACGAUCGUUAACUGGUCUGAGAGGAUGGUCAGUCACACUGGAACUGAGACACGGUCCAGGCUCCUACGGGAGGCAGCAGUGGGGAAUAUUGGACAAUGGGCGGAAGCCUGAUCCAGCCAUGCCGCGUGUGUGAAGAAGGUCUCCGGAUUGUAAAGCACUUUAAGUUGGGAGGAAGGGCAGUAAGUUAAUACCUUGCUGUUUUGACGUUACCGACAGAAUAAGCACCGGCUAACUUCGUGCCAGCAGCCGCCGUAA